UACGGACGUCGUGGCUCCGUUGGUACCUCCACCGCCACCAAGAGACCCAUCUCAGUUCAGAGGCGACCCCCGACAGUACACACGAGAUUUUUUCUUCUCCCUGGCUGUCUUCUUCAACAUCCCUUUGAGGGUUUCCAGUGCAGCUAGCAGCACAGCGGAUGAAAGCCUUUGAAGACAUCUCCGUCAUGUUUGUCAUUGAGGUUGGCUGUGCCAUUGCGUGAAGUCAAGGUUGUUAAGUUUUGAAAAAGGCAUUUAUCACUGUUUAGGGUUGAGGAGAUAAAGACAAAUGGAUGGGCCACAUAUAGCUUUAAUACAGACACCUUCAUGUCUUUGUGGGAGCUCCGCCCAGCAGCUCCGCCCAGCAGCUCCGCCCAGCAGCUCCGCCCAGCAGCUCCGCCCAGCUGCUCGCAGGGACCUGGGCCAGCUCCCUCCAGGACAGGACCUCUGGUGGGGGUUUCUGAGAGCAGAAGGGUGCCCAAGGUGUCCAGAUGUGAGUCAAGUAACUGGCAGUGACCCAAAGACAUGGCUGCCUCUGGUUCUCCCUGGUCCUCCCUGGUUCUCCCUGGUCCUCCCUGGGUCUCCCUGGUUCUCCCUGGUUCCUGGCAAGGGGGAGCGUGAUGGUUGGUCUCCUCCAUCAUCUCUUGGUUACUUCUUAAUGCACCAGCCCCCAGGCCCAUGUCUGGAUAACUGGAGCCAUUAGAGGAACAUUUGAGAGUGUGUGAUGCAGAUUCCGGGAGCUUCUAGAUUUUGUGGAGUGAGCGUAGGGGGGUAAAUGACACAAUACUGGGAUUGUGUUGAUGGCGGAGGGAGGGAGCUACAACAGAAUCUUUCUUCUGGCACUACAAGGCUUCUUACAGUAUACAGCAACACAGACACAUCCACACAGAAGGGCAUUACAACAUUGGUAACAAUGGUUGCUUACAACUGCCGAUGCCUCAUAUCUUCAAAGGGCACCGGCAAAAACAAGAUACUGAUUAGGCCAUCUCAAGGUACAGUACUCCAAUUAUAUGAACAAAAGAAAACUAUUACAAAAGAGGUGAAAAAUCCUAAAAUCAGUUCACUCCCAUGGGUUCUCAUUGGUUUUAGCCAGUGAUCUCAAUACAGUAGUGAGCUCUGUGUCCAGUCAGGUCACACUGCUAUGUUCCAGCCUGACUCACUCCUGCUGGCUUCGGAGGUCAGGCUGGUCAGAACAGCAAAACUAGAAAAUACUGCAUCUGGACUUCCUUUCAGGUGCUCUCUAGUUUUCAGUACACAGAAUCAUCUGUACUGUCAUCAUGUCAUCAUGAAACGGCACGAUCUUCAGAGCAUCGACAUCUCCAAGAACAGCAUCAGGCACUGCCCUGAGACACUUCGUGAGGACUGGCUGACUCUACUAGACAUUGUGAUGACAGACAAAACUGCUGAUCCCAAAAGCAACCAGAUUUCUACAGGAACUUCCACAAGAGUAAAACUUUAGUGAGGGAUCCCUCCCACCCAGAACAUAGGACUCUGUUGCUAUGGGGCUUUAGUCAUGCUCAUGGUUACAACCUCUCCACGGUAACAAGAGAGAAAGCUGCUGCUAUGUGAGAGUAUGUUAGUCAUAGCUAGUGCUGAUCACACAUACUUGGAGUGCAGGCAAAUAUUUGUUGUUUGUUUAAUAUUAUGGUGAUUUGUGUGGCUGUGUCAUUGGUUCGGGAAAAGAAAAUCUACUUUUCACUUCAGAUCAAAACUCCAUAAUUGUAACCUUCCAAGCUCACCACAGCCAAGGUUUUAUUGUGUGUUAACGAAAACAUAAUCUUGUCUGUCUAGUUUUGAACAUGAGUGGCGCUUCAGACGUUCUCCCUAACGAGGUAGCUAACCCUAACCUCCCCCAAAAUACUUAAAAAACGUAUUAACUUUAUAUAUUAUAUUUAUAUAUUCCUUUUAUUAUAUUACAUUUACAUUUAUUCAUUUAGCAGACGC